AUUGAACGCUGGCGGCAGGCCUAACACAUGCAAGUCGAACGAGUGGCGGACGGGUGAGUAAUGUCUGGGCAACUGCCUGAUGGAGGGGGAUAACUACUGGAAACGGUAGCUAAUACCGCAUACCAUCGGAUGUGCCCAGAGGGGAUUAGCUAGUAGGUGGGGUAACGGCUUACCAAGGCGACGAUCCGUAACUGGUCUGAGAGGAUGAUCAGUCACAUUGGAACUGAGACACGGUCCAUACUCCUACGGGAGGCAGCAGUGGGGAAUAUUGGACAAUGGGCGAAAGCCUGAUCCAGCCAUGCCGCGUGUGUGAAGAAGGUCUUCGGAUUGUAAAGCACUUUAAGUUGGGAGGCGUUACCAACAGAAUAAGCACCGGCUAACUUCGUGCCAGCAGCCGCGGUAAUAC
rnacentral:rRNA from 1 species